rnacentral:rRNA from 1 species
UGGGGAAUUGUUCGCAAUGGGCGCAAGCCUGACGACGCAACGCCGCGUGGAGGAUGAAGACUUUCGGGUCGUAAACUCCUGUCGAAUGGGACGAACAGAUCGUGGGUUAAUAGCCCGUGAUCCUGACGGUACCGUUAAAGGAAGCCCCGGCUAACUCCGUGCCAGCAGCCGCGGUAAUACGGGGGGGGCAAGCGUUGUUCGGAAUUACUGGGCGUAAAGGGCUCGUAGGCGGCCAACUAAGUCGGACGUGAAAUCCCUCAGCUUAACUGGGGAACUGCGUCAGAUACUGGAUGGCUUGGAUUCGGGAGAGGGAUGCGGAAUUCCAGGUGUAGCGGUGAAAUGCGUAGAUAUCUGGAGGAACACCGGUGGCGAAGGCGGCAUCCUGGACCGAUAUUGACGCUGAGGAGCGAAAGCCAGGGGAGCAAACGG